GAUGAACGCUAGCGGCAGGCCUAACACAUGCAAGUCGAGGGGUAACUAGAGUGAUAGCAAUAUUACUUUGGCUAGACCGGCGCACGGGUGCGUAACACGUAUGCAACCUACCUUAUACUGGGGAAUAACUUCGAGAAAUCGGCGCUAAUACCCCAUAACAUUGCGAAGAGGCAUCUCUUUGCAAUUAAAGCUCCGGCGGUGUAAGAUGGGCAUGCGUCCAAUUAGCUAGUUGGUGAGGUAACGGCUCACCAAGGCUACGAUUGGUAGGGGUUCUGAGAGGAUGAUCCCCCACACUGGUACUGAGACACGGACCAGACUCCUACGCGAGGCAGCAGUGAGGAAUAUUGCGAAAUGGACGAAAGUCUGACGCAGCCAUGCCGCGUGCAGGAUGACGGCCCUAUGGGUUGUAAACUGCUUUUGUACGGGAAUAAACCCUUCUACGUGUAGGAGGCUGAAGGUACCGUAAGAAUAAGCACCGGCUAACUCCGUGCCAGCCGCCGCGGUAA
rnacentral:rRNA from 1 species